rnacentral:rRNA from 1 species
CCCUUAGAUGUUCUGGGCUGCACGCGCGCUACACUGACACACCCAGCGAGUCUCCUGCCCUGACAGGGUUGGGUAAUCAUUGGAGUGUGUGUCGUGAUGGGGAUAGAGUAUUGCAAUUAUUGCUCUCGAACGAGGAAUUCCUAGUAAGCACAAGUCAGCAGCUUGUGCUGAUUACGUCCCUGCCCUUUGUACACACCGCCCGUCGCUCCUACCGAGGGGGUGAUCCGGUGAAUGAUUCGGACUUUGGCGUUUCUAGCUGCUGGCAGCGCUGAAGAAAGUUUUGUGAACCUUAUCACUUGGAGGAAGGAGAAGUCGUAACA